CAGCCGCCGCGGUAAUACGAAGGGUGCAAGCGUUAAUCGGAAUUACUGGGCGUAAAGCGUGCGUAGGCGGUUUGUUAAGUCUGUUGUGAAAUCCCCGGGCUCAACCUGGGAAUGGCAAUGGAUACUGGCAAGCUAGAGUGUGUCAGAGGAUGGCGGAAUUCCCGGUGUAGCGGUGAAAUGCGUAGAGAUCGGGAGGAACAUCAGUGGCGAAGGCGGCCAUCUGGGACAACACUGACGCUGAGGCACGAAAGCGUGAGGAGCAAACAGGAUUAGAUACCCGAGUAGUCCCUGUCUCUUAUAA
rnacentral:rRNA from 1 species